AGAACAGCUGAAUUGCCUUCGCCCGCCCUGCCCCUCGCCUGCUUCAGAAGCUUCCAGGAACUCCCGGGUCGGCGACCCAGCCCGAGCCGCCUGGGGCCCCAAGGGAAGCUGAACGCCCUGUGGGCUCCUGGGAUGGUUCUUCCCGUUCUUUGCGCCGCCUUCACCCAUUGAAGAGCCUGUGCCCACCCUGCCCAGUCGCUCUCGGGGCCGCGGAGGAGCUUCCGCUGCCAUCUUCGGAUCCUGUGUUCCGCACGGGGGCUCCACCAGGGCAGGGAUGGUGGUGAGGGUCGCUCGUGGGUCCCCUCGGGGGGAGCAGGGUCUGGCACUCACCAGGGCGCACGACUAGGACUUGUCGAAUGAAUUCAUUGUCGCCUUUAGCUUUUAGUCCUUUGAAGAGCCCUGAGAGCGGAAAUCAACAGAUUUUUUUCCAUGGGGAAGUUCUUUUUACAAAUCGUUGAUUUCUCAGUACCCUGCAGGGCGGGAAACUGGCAGGGCCUCCGGCGCACCUUCUGCGCGGUGGAGCCGCGGGGCUCAGCUGGGCCGUGGUCCGGCCCUGGGGCCGUAGGGCGAGAGCAGAAUGGGGAAAUGGAGAGAGAACCUGAAAGAGCCCCAAACUCGAGGACCUAUUGCUCCCCAAGAAUAACAUCUUCCAGAAGAACUAGACAGAAAACUAGGCGUCUGGGAACUCUGAAAUCCUUGGAGGAGUAGCAUCAUCAUGACCCUCUGUGUUCCUUUUGGCAAAGGACUUGCUCCCAUUGUUUGCUUGUUCCAUUGUCUGUCUGUUAAAUAAAUAAAACCCUUUUCAUAUAUCUUUAAA
ensembl:lncRNA novel transcript